ACAUAUGAAAAGAGGCUCCAGAAUCCAGAACCCACGAAGAUGUACCUGACUGUGUAGAUGCCUGUGAUGGUGAGGAAGAUGGUGCAGUCACAGCAGCAGCAGAGCCAGUCGACGAGGAGCCUGAGGAAGCAAGAAGACGCUUGAGGCGAACAAUGUCCUGGUCAGUGAGUGACGGAGUCGAGGAAGACACAGGAGGCCCGCUGGAGGAGGAGCGCCUCUGGUCUCGCUUCUUUUGGCGGCAAUCAGACUCUGGAUGACUGGGCCGGGAGCAGUAACCACAGACGGUGUCACGACGCGAAGUGCCCUUCUCAGCAUAGGGAGGACGGCUCACCCCCCUGGAGGAGUAGGCAGGAGCGGUGGAGCAGUGAGGCGAGCAGACGACACAGGAGCCCGGGCAGCCAAUACUGACGGAACCAGAAGCAACCCAGCAGAGCGAAGGCGUGUCUCCUCGGCACGAAGCUCAGCAAGCACCUCCGAGAGAGGAACACGACCACGAGCAAGCAAGUGAGCACGUCUGGGCUCAAACUCAGAUCGAAGACGAGAUAAGAACUCAUGAACCCUCUGAAACUCCAAGUCAGACCGUGUAGUCUGACAGCAACGGCAAGUUCCACAAACAACUGUCCGCAAUGAGUCAAGCUGGCGCCAGAUGGCAGAGCACUGUGAAUAGAACUCAUCAACAGUCAAGUCACCCUGCUGAAGAGCAUGCUCCUGUCGCACCACAGAUAAGUAAAGAGCAUCACCAGAGGGCUGAUAACGCUGACAGAGAUAAGACCACAUCGCUGCAACGGUGCCGAGGCCUAUGAACUCUGACGCAAACUGAGGAAGGACACUCGCAGUGAGAACAGCAGCAGCACGGGCAUCAUCAUUGCACCACUGAGUGUAAGCAGCCAGAUCAUCCCGGUAGACAGCAAGAGCAUCUGAAUAGGCAGAUACCUGUUGAUCAUAAGCAUCAACCGCAGCAUUAUCAAGCGCCUUGGUUGCAUCGCGAUUAGCCUGAGAAGCAUCAGGAGCAAGGACCGGCGGCACCGGCGGGGUAGGAGCCACAGGAGCAACAGGGCAUGGCGGACAGGAGACCUCGUCAGAGAGAACGCCCCAUAGAAGGAGACCACGCAUAUGAAUGCGCAUGAACCCCGCAAACUCGGCAUAGUUGGUGCCAUCGAAGAUCACCGAGCACCGAGGGACGGCGACAUAGCACGAAGAGGACAUAAGGAAACCGCUCUGUUUUUUUUUGGUCAACCGCUAUAGGACCCGAUCUGGAUCGGACUGGAUCGAGAAGCAGGCGCUGAAUCAAGCGACGAGGGCAGGGGCACCGCAGCGGGAGAGGCCUGGAGGAGAGGCAGCGGACUUGGGCGGCCGGACCUGGCGGCGGCCGGGCUGGGCGACGGCGGCCGGACCUAGCGGCGGCCAGGCUGGGCGGCGGCGGCCGGGUCUGGCUGCGACCGGGCGGGGCGGCUGCGGCCCGACAAUGUAGCGGCGGCGGCCGAACGGAGCUGGACGAGACCAGCACGGAGAGAGCCGCAAGCCACGGCCGUGCUUGAGAGCGGCUGCUCGAGAGGAGCCGGGCAGGGGCGUGCUCGAGAGCUCCUGCUCACGCGAAGACGGGUGACGACGAGCCUGACGAGGACGAGUCGGAGCAGAGGAUGGCCGGAGAUCGAGGAUGGGAUCUAGCGACUAGGAUGGAGCGCACGGAGUUGCAUCGUGCGGGAGAGGGAAGAACCUAACAUCUGAUACCAUGUUGGAUAAUGAGCAACUAGUAUUUUCUGAGGGCCAAAGGCCAUUACAUAUACAUGUGUGUGAAAGUGCAGAAAAGCCCCUUAUACAAUGGGGAUGUACACAAUAAACUAUACACAUCUAACAACAAGAACUUGGAAUUUAUAGGACAACAAAGUGUACAUUCUAAAAUCUGAACUAACACAAAUAUUCUUUGUUGCCUGUGCAUUUUCCUCCCCUGAAAGAUAAUACUGUUGCCCUCCAUCUGAUUCUUUCCUUCCUCAUUUACUCGAGGAAUUACAUUAUCUUUUUUUUUGCGACAGCUGGUUUAGUAGGCCUGACUUGUGAUCAAACUUGGUGGUGGUUCUGCAUGGUCUGGCGCUCACUUCUUAACUUCUCUCGAUUUAUGUUUUUUUUUUCUUGUUUCAAUUCAUAUCAAACUGAUUAUAUUUGCACAUAGGUUGAAGACUUUAUUUCUCGCGUGGAGGUAUUUUGGCCGAAGGAACUGAAUUUUUUCCAGUUCCUAAGCACUUACCUCGUGUUUGCUUCUAAAGCAUACGUGAAUUAGGUGCCGGUUUGGAUCAGUUACAAUGGUGCGGUAGAGCAGAUUGGUUCAGACGUGUUGCAUGGGAAGCAAUUUCUUGAAUGUCAUUGGGAGUGCCUGGCUGACGUAUGCGGUCAUCGGGAGCGGUUGUAUUGUUUGGUCCUCGACAAUUUUGACUGAAGAUUCCUGGGCUUUACCAUUGCGAAAUCAUGUGAGAAGAGGUGUUCCAAGAAUUCUUUUGAAAGGCAUGUGUAUACAGGCCAUUUGUCUUACUACAAUUUUUCUUUUUGUCUUUGUGAGUUGCUGAAAAGAUCUUGAGAUGUUUGAUUGGUUUCAACUCAGUUGAAGUUGUUAGGAUGAUUUGGUUGCAUCUUCUGGGAAAUGUACCGUGAUGGAUUCAUAUAGAUUCUUGAGUGGUGCAACCCUUUGUACUGUGUUUUC